GUAUCCCCAUGACCACGAAAGAGCUGAAAUCAUAGCUGGGAAUCCCUUGAUUUUCAGCAAAUCCUGCUUUAGUAGAGUUGUUUGGAAGCUGGGUAUCCCUUGAUUGCAGGACUUGGUUGUCCAAGCAAUGGCUUCGAAAGGGACCGGAGAAGACAAUUAUGAAGGCAAACAAAAAAGUAUCACCAAACGCUCAUUUGCAUUUGCGGAAGCACUAAGUCAA
rnacentral:lncRNA from 1 species